rnacentral:rRNA from 1 species
ACAUACCUAAACGUUGCUUCGGCGGGAACAGACGGCCCCGUGAAACGGGCCGCCCCCGCCAGAGGACCCCUAACUCUGUUUCUAUAAUGUUUCUUCUGAGUAAAACAAGCAAAUAAAUUAAAACUUUCAACAACGGAUCUCUUGGCUCUGGCAUCGAUGAAGAACGCAGCGAAAUGCGAUAAGUAAUGUGAAUUGCAGAAUUCAGUGAAUCAUCGAAUCUUUGAACGCACAUUGCGCCCGCCAGUAUUCUGGCGGGCAUGCCUGUUCGAGCGUCAUUACAACCCUCAGGCCCCCGGGCCUGGCGUUGGGGAUCGGCGGAGCCCCCCGUGGGCACACGCCGUCCCCCAAAUACAGUGGCGGUCCCGCCGCAGCUUCCAUCGCGUAGUAGCUAACACCUCGCGACUGGAGAGCGGCGCGGCCACGCCGUAAAACACCCAACUCUUCUGAAGUUGACCUCGAAUCAGGUAGGAAUACCCGCUGAACUUAAGCAUAUCAAUAAGCGGAGGAA